AUUGAACGCUGGCGGAAUGCUUUACACAUGCAAGUCGAGCGGCAGCGCGGCCUUCGGGCUGGCGGCGAGCGGCGAACGGGUGAGUAAUGCAUCGGAACAUGCCCAGUCGUGGGGGAUAACACUUCGAAAGAAGUGCUAAUACCGCAUACGUCCUGAGGGGGAAAGCGGGGGAUCGCAAGACCUCGCGCGAUUGGAGUGGCCGAUGUCAGAUUAGCUAGUUGGUGGGGUAAAGGCCUACCAAGGCGACGAUCUGUAGCUGGUCUGAGAGGAUGAUCAGCCGCACUGGGACUGAGACACGGCCCAGACUCCUACGGAAGGCAGCAGUGGGGAAUUUUGGACAAUGGGGGCAACCCUGAUCCAGCCAUUCCGCGUGAGUGAAGAAGGCCUUCGGGUUGUAAAGCUCUUUCGGCAGGAACGAAACGGUGGGCUCUAACAUAGUCCGCUAAUGACGGUACCUGAAGAAGAAGCACCGGCUAACUACGUG
rnacentral:rRNA from 1 species